rnacentral:rRNA from 1 species
UACGUGAAUACAUAGCGUAAUGAAGCGAACCGGGGGAACUGAAACAUCUAAGUACCCCGAGGAAAAGAAAUCAACCGAGAUUCCCCCAGUAGCGGCGAGCGAACGGGGAGGAGCCCAGAGCCUGAAUCAGCAUGUGUGUUAGUGGAAGCGUCUGGAAAGGCGCGCGAUACAGGGUGACAGCCCCGUACACAAAAGCGCAUGUGUUGUGAGCUCGAUGAGUAGGGCGGGACACGUGGUAUCCUGUCUGAAUAUGGGGGGACCAUCCUCCAAGGCUAAAUACUCCUGACUGACCGAUAGUGAACCAGUACCGUGAGGGAAAGGCGAAAAGAACCCCGGCGAGGGGAGUGAAAAAGAACCUGAAACCGUGUACGUACAAGCAGUGGGAGCACCCUUUGGGGUGUGACUGCGUACCUUUUGUAUAAUGGGUCAGCGACUUAUAUUCUGUAGCAAGGUUAACCGAAUAGGGGAGCCGGAGGGAAACCGAGUCUUAAUUGGGCGUUAAGUUGCAGGGUAUAGACCCGAAACCCGGUGAUCUAGCCAUGGGCAGGUUGAAGGUUGGGUAACACUAACUGGAGGACCGAACCGACUAAUGUUGAAAAAUUAGCGGAUGACCUGUGGCUGGGGGUGAAAGGCCAAUCAAACCGGGAGAUAGCUGGUUCUCCCCGAAAGCUAUUUAGGUAGCGCCUCGUGAACUCAUCUCCGGGGGUAGAGCACUGUUUCGGCUAGGGGGCCAUCCCGGCUUACCAACCCGAUGCAAACUGCGAAUACCGGAGAAUGUUAUCACGGGAGACACACGGCGGGUGCUAACGUCCGUCGUGAAGAGGGAAACAACCCAGACCGCCAGCUAAGGUCCCAAAGUCAUAGUUAAGUGGGAAACGAUGUGGGAAGGCCCAGACAGCCAGGAUGUUGGCUUAGAAGCAGCCAUCAUUUAAAGAAAGCGUAAUAGCUCACUGGUCGAGUCGGCCUGCGCGGAAGAUGUAACGGGGCUAAACUAUGCACCGAAGCUGCGGCAGCGACACUAUGUGU